rnacentral:lncRNA from 1 species
GGACGCUUGCUAUGUGACGCCACUUGGAAGGGACCCACCUACAGUGGCGGAAGUGGAGUAAGACAUCAUGUUGCCUCAAGUUUAAUUGGAAAUCGCGUGCCUUGUGAAGAAUGGACACUCAGUAGAUGCUUAUUGAUGAACCUGUUGGUUGAGGAUAACUCGCUAACUUUUCUGAGCUUUGUUGGAAAAACUCAGGUCACUGUAUCUCUAUGCAUUACAGAAAAUGGCUAGUUAAAAACUUGUCAAGAUUAUGAAUGAGUGCAUCCAAAAGUAAUCACUGGAAUUGCUGUUCAUUGUGGGCUUCCCAGCAUUCUCCUCUGGGCAUUUAUAUCAAAUAACUUAUGAGUGAUGCAGAAUUAGUAUUCACCGGUCAGACAUUGAUUAUUUAGAAUUCCCUCUGAUUUGAAUUACAUCUACUGUUUUUUUCUCCCAUCCAUUUAUGGGUCAAAUGUACAAUAAGCCAAAACAUGUUGAUUCUGGUGAAAUUUAGCAGAGAAAAACAGCUUCACCUAGUGGCCACAGAAACUCGAAAAGCUUUACUGAAAAGAAAUAAAUUGGAUAUCUUCUCAUCCUGGAUAUGAACUGGAUUCCAACUUAACCUUCCAACUGUUUUGCUGUUUCUCUGAAGUCUGAACCUUGUGUAUGGCAAUACUUAUCUCAAGCAAAAAUAUAGUUUCACAUUGGUAGUACUGUAUUCAGGAAAACUGGAAAUUGUACUAUGAAGGAGCACUUCUACCACAUCCGUAUCUAAGUCUACAUUCACAGCUGCUGGAAACAGAUAUUGUAUUCAUACUAUGGUGGGAAACACAUAAUGUAUGUAUGUAUACACAUGUGUGCACACAUAUAUAUGCUAGCGUAUAAUCUGGAAAAAUUUUGCUAAGAUAUAUAGGAAGAGAACCUUUUUAUUCAGAAUAUUGAACAAGUAGGACUCAUAGUGUAAAAUUAAGAAAAAUUAUUUUUCUUCUACUGCCCUUUCUAUGGAUUUGGUUCUUCCUCUUCCCCUGAAUGUAAACUUAAGCAGUCUUCUAUGCAUUUUGUGUUCAUUCCUAAAUAUUAGAAAUAGUUAUUUGAUUAUUUAGCCUUUAGUCUCAGUUUAAUAACCAAAAUAUGAGGUUAAAAUUUAAUUCUGGCUACAGAAUUAAGGCUUCUCUCUCCUGCCGCACUUCCAGGCCAGUUGCAGGCAUGAUACCAGCAGUCUGGGAGGUAGAGACAAGAGGACACAUCUCUGCUGCUCCCUUCUUUCCCCAUGGUUAUGCGCCAACUUUGGUUUCACCAGGCCUACAGUGCUUCCCAGGUUUGGAGUGUGGGGAAGGAGAAGAUUUAAUGGAAGCAGCUUAAGGGAAAUGCUCAAACUAAACUGAUACUUUCUUCAUGAUCUAGCAUUGAAACUUUCUGGACUUGACAGAUAUUUAAAAUUAACUCUUUUUCUCAUUAACAUUUUCAUGGGUUCUUCCAAGAUCCACAUUACCCAACCUGUGGGUUCCCAUGACAAGGAUUAAGGCAUCUCUGUUUCUUCUGGACCUUUAUUUACCUGGAUUCUUUCUCUAGGGACUGUUUACCCUUAUGGGCCAUCCUUUUGAGCAUAACCUAACAAGAUUCAUGCUGGCUUUAAGUGAGUGGUCCACAUUUGGUUCAUGGGAAAACCACAUAGUUUGUCCCCAGCAAACCUGGAAGUAAUAUUUAUUUUACUGCUGGAAUUAAGGAAAACCAAAAAUCCUAUUACAAAAUGGCUCCUCUAAACAUUCACAUUACCCCUUUUUGUCUCUACCCCCUGAGGAACUAACCAACUCUAGCUCUUUGGAUUUUCCAAAUGAGAGGUCAACACAUCGAUGUCUCCAAGACCUUAAGUUCUUCUAGUGGUCUCUUUAAGCUUCCUCCCUUGAAUUAUGGUGAAAAGGGACUGCCUGCUACCCCCUCCUCUUGAGGAGAGGGGUGGUAUCACAGCCUAACAAUAAUUUCCAAAAAUUUUCUCCUCCAGCUCUAAUGCUUAACCAGUUUAGACUUUCAAAGUGGAUAAUGUAAUUUAAAGCCUUACAGCUAGUUAUGCUCUACUUCUUCUAUAAGUCCUGCAACCAGGUGGUCUCAAUCCUCACUUGCGAAUACUGCAUUUACUCACCUUGUGCCCUAGCCAAAACUUCCACAACAAAUUCUGUGGUGCAUUUAAGUGAAAGAUGUUAUUUGAUUGAUAGAGAGAUAGAUAGAUAGAUACAGAUAUAGAUAUAGAUAUGUAUUAGAACCAUGUCAAAUGGUUAACUUUUUUAAAAAGGUAAAUUUUUUAUAUUGAGAUAAUUAUAGAUUCUCAUACACUCGUAAGAAAUAACACAGAAAGAUCCCAUGUAGCCUUUAUCCAGUUUCCCCAGUGAUAAUAUCUUGCAAAACUAUAGUCCAAUAUCACAACCAAGAUACUGGCAUUGAUAGAUCACUUCCAUCACCACAAACAUCCCUCAUGUUGCCCUUUUAUAGCCACACUCAUUUCCCUCCUGCUGCCACCCUCUCCUUUACCCAUAACCACUUAUCUGUUCUCUAUUUUUGUAAUUUUAUCAUUUCAAGAAUACUGUAGAAAUGGAAUAAUACAGUAUGUAUUUUAGGGCUUAUCUUUUCUACACUCGGCAUGAUUCUCUGGAGAUUCAUCCAGGUUGUUGCAUGUAUCAAUAGUUCAUUCCUUUUUUACUGCUGAACAGUAUUCCAUUGUAUGUAUGUACCAUAGUUUAACUAUUUGCUCAAUGAAAGACAUAUAUUAAUAGUUUCCAGUUUUUGCUGUUAUGAAUAAAGC